rnacentral:rRNA from 1 species
UGCAGAGGUCUCAAGCGUUGUUCGGAUUCAUUGGGCGUAAAGGGUGCGUAGGCGGCGCGGUAAGUCGGGUGUGAAAGUCUCCGGGGCUUAACUCCGAAACUGCAUUUCGAAUACUGCCGUGCUUGAGGACUGGAGAGGAGACUGGAAUUUACGGUGUAGCGGUGAAAUGCGUAGAUAUCGUAAGGAAGACCAGUGGCGAAGGCGGGUCUCUGGACAGUUCCUGACGCUGAGGCACGAAGGCCAGGGGAGCAAACGGG